rnacentral:rRNA from 1 species
GUUGAACGCUGGCGGCAGGCUUAACACAUGCAAGUCGAGCGGAGCGGCGGACGGGUGAGUAAUGCCUAGGAAUCUGCCUGGUAGUGGGGGAUAACGUCCGGAAACGGGCGCUAAUCCCGCAUCCGAGCAGAUGGGACUCGGUCGGAUUAGCUCGUGGGGGGGGGAAAGGCCUACCAAGGCGACGAUCCGUAACUGGUCUGAGAGGAUGAUCAGUCACACUGGAACUGAGACACGUGCCAGACGCCUACGGGAGGCAGCAGUGGGGAAUAGUGGACAAUGGGCGAAAGCCUGAUCCAGCCAUGCCGCGUGUGUGAAGAAGGUCUUCGGAUUGUAAAGCACUUUAAGUUGGGAGGCGGUACCAACAGAAGAAGCACCGGCUAACUUCGUGCCAGCCGCCGCGGUAAUAC